rnacentral:rRNA from 1 species
CGGAAGUCUGACCGAGCAACGCCGCGUGAGUGAAGAAGGUUUUCGGAUCGUAAAGCUCUGUUGUAAGAGAAGAACGAGUGUGAGAGUGGAAAGUUCACACUGUGACGGUAUCUUACCAGAAAGGGACGGCUAACUACGUGCCAGCAGCCGCGGUAAUACGUAGGUCCCGAGCGUUGUCCGGAUUUAUUGGGCGUAAAGCGAGCGCAGGCGGUUAGAUAAGUCUGAAGUUAAAGGCUGUGGCUUAACCAUAGUACGCUUUGGAAACUGUUUAACUUGAGUGCAAGAGGGGAGAGUGGAAUUCCAUGUGUAGCGGUGAAAUGCGUAGAUAUAUGGAGGAACACCGGUGGCGAAAGCGGCUCUCUGGCCUGUAACUGACGCUGAGGCUCGAAAGCGUGGGGAGCAGACAGGAUUAGAUACCCUGGUAGUCCACGCCGUAAACGAUGAGUGCUAGGUGUUAGACCCUUUCGGGUUAGUGCGCAGCUACGCAUUAGCACUCGCCUGGGA